rnacentral:rRNA from 1 species
UGGGGAAUAUUGGACAAUGGGCGCAAGCCUGAUCCAGCCAUGCCGCGUGAGUGAUGAAGGCCCUAGGGUUGUAAAGCUCUUUCACCGGUGAAGAUAAUGACGGUAACCGGAGAAGAAGCCCCGGCUAACUUCGUGCCAGCAGCCGCGGUAAUACGAAGGGGGCUAGCGUUGUUCGGAUUUACUGGGCGUAAAGCGCACGUAGGCGGACUAUUAAGUCAGGGGUGAAAUCCCGGGGCUCAACCCCGGAACUGCCUUUGAUACUGGUAGUCUUGAGUUCGAGGGAGGUGAGUGGAAGUCCGAGUGUAGAGGUGGAAUUCGUAGAUAUUCGGAGGAACAACAGUGGCGAAGGCGGCUCACUGGCUCGAUACUGACGCUGAGGUGCGGAAGCGUAGGGAGCAAACAGG